AGGUGAGGAGUACUUUUCUACCUGUGCAGGGGCCUUCUCCUUGCAGCCUGCUUGUUCUGCUCAGUAGUAUAAGCAUACAGACAUCAUCCUUGCUGAGCCACUCUCUAGUGGGCUGGACUUCAGUCAGUAGUCAAGCCUCCAGGCAGUGGUAGAAACUGGAAAGCAAAUCACAAGGUGACAAGGGCGGAAAAGCAGCUGGGAAAUAACUGAUGAGAACUCAAGUUGAAAAAUGAAGAUGUGAAGAAGAAACGAUCUAGGAAAGAAGAUUUGGCCCUUAUUGUGACAAGGAUUAAGGAGUGAGAGGAACCGAAUUGAGAAGAGCUGGUAUCUGUGAGGACAUUCUUGCUUUUCUUUUGUAGUUAACUAUGGAAAAGCCGCUUCUAAAGCUUUCACUAAACACACUCAGCACAGGAAAAUUCAUGUGAAAUUAUAUAUGAGCUUCAAGAAUCUGACCCUCUCAGGGAAUGAUAAAA